AUAAGAGGGGGAGUGCGCUUUGCUUCCCCGGGGUCUGGGGCUCAUUUCUCCUCUCUUCCCCAUAAACUCAGCUCCUCCGAGCUCAAAACACAAAAGGAAGCGAGAGCUCUUUCCAGCUAGAAUAUUAGGCACCACGAGAAAAAUAUUUGCCAAGCAGUUUUCGCCUCCACCCGCAGAACCCUUUGAGCUGCCUGAAAUCCGAGUCAUUAAACUGUUCCCUGAGGCAGAUUCUUCACCAGCUGAGCCACCAGGGAAGCCAAAGAACACUGGAAUGCAUAGCCUAUCCCUUCUCCGGCGGAUCUUCCCGACGCAGGAAUUGAACCGGGGUCUCCUGCAUUGCAGGUGGAUUCUUUACCAGCUGAGCUACCAGGGAAGCCCUCUGUCCUCAGCAAUUGUCUGAUCCCACGCAACUGAUUUUGUAUCACUGGAAACAGGCCCACACAGAAUGUAUUUGCUGCACACACUGGACCAGGCUGAGUCAGAUCCAGAACUUUGAUGUCCUGGUUCUAAAUCCACUGUGUUUUUCCAUAGCUUAUCAUUAGAAGAGGAUACGGGGUGGGCAGACCUGCCAAAGAGCCAUUUUCUGUGGCCUUACAUUUUCUGUGACCUUCAGAGAAGUCUCCACUUUUGGACUCCUGAGAUCAUCUCCACUGAGGUUCUACAUCAGUCUUAACAGUACAAUGACAGUAUGGAAAGGAGCAGACUGUCAUUCACAAGUUCUGCAUGUUGGUCCCAGUGUAGGACGCCGUAUAGGAGUCCUCACAGGUUCCUAUG
ensembl:lncRNA